rnacentral:rRNA from 1 species
GGAAGUAAAAGUCGUAACAAGGUCUCCGUUGGUGAACCAGCGGAGGGAUCAUUACAGAGUUGCAAAACUCCCACAACCAUUGUGAACCUACCCCUGAACCGUUGCUUCGGCGGGCCGGCCCCGGGCGUCUUCACGACACCCCCCGGGGCCCCCGGCCGCCCCGCCGCUCGCGGCGGGGGGGCGGCCCGCCGGAGGUGACCCCAAACUCUUGAACACUGUACGGCCUCUCUGAGUCUUCUGUACUGAAUAAGUCAAAACUUUCAACAACGGAUCUCUUGGUUCUGGCAUCGAUGAAGAACGCAGCGAAAUGCGAUAAGUAAUGUGAAUUGCAGAAUUCAGUGAAUCAUCGAAUCUUUGAACGCACAUUGCGCCCGCCAGUAUUCUGGCGGGCAUGCCUGUUCGAGCGUCAUUUCGACCAUCAAGCCCCCGGGCUUGUGUUGGGGACCUGCGGCUGCCCGCAGGCCCUGAAAUGCAGUGGCGGGCUCGCUGUCACACCGAGCGUAGUAGCACAGAACACCUCGCUCAGGGCGUGCCGCGUGCCCCGGCCGUUAAACCAGCGCCCUCGGCGCACACCAAGGUUGACCUCGGAUCAGGUAGGAGGACCCGCUGAACUUAAGCAUAUCAAUAAGCGGAGGA